GGAGGGGACCCCACCCAUUUUCUGCAUGGCAUGGAGCCAUGUCCUUUGUUACCUUCAUGAUCCAUACAUAGAGGGCCAUUACCAAGAAACUCGUCUGACUUUUUCAACAAUUUGAAUCCUUGCUUAGAUUUGAAUACUUGCUGUAUUCAGAGAUUAGAAGGGCCUGAGGCAUAUAGCCUACUGCCCCCACCCCCCACUCCACAACUCAUAACAAGAUUUUAUUCUUCAUUAUAUUUGUAUCUUUCCCUUCCUCCAGCAUCUUCAAGGUAUUGUACAAGGCAAGGUAAUUUGCACAUAUGGAGCAGAUUUUUUUUUUUUUAAAUUAACCUCAUACAACAUUCCUUGCAAGCUGCUUUCACAGGUGGAAGGUUAUUUUUGAGUGUAAAAUAGCUUCUCUGGAGGAGGGCCAUUUUGACACUAUCUCCAAAGAACCAUUUCAAGGCAAGGCCAAAUCAAUAGCAAGCCAACUAGGAGAGUUUGACUAAAGACACAGCUUGACCUCAGUAAUCCAAAACCCAAAUUAUAGGGUCUAAUCAUAGCAAUAGUCUUUCCUGUCAUGUAUCUCUGGAAUUAAACAAAGGUAUCACUAAGUAGAAUCUUCGCAUACUGUUCUCACGUUUAAUUCAGUACUAUAUACCAUAAGGGAUAAGUCUCAAGUCAGAUGUAAUCUGAUAAAAGGGGGAAAUGAGAUCUGUUUGAAUACCAUAUAUUUUUUUUGCAGAAGGAUCAAGGAUGUUCCCUUGUUCUUGUUUUUAGAGCAAAUGGUGUUGAAGGCUUGAGAUAAAUACACAAAGCUAAUUAUGUUUCCCAAACUUACACUAUAAUUCUUGUCUUGUCAGAAGAAUUGUCUGCAUAUAUAAAAGGGACUGGAAAAGAGCAUAUCCCCACAGUAUUUUCAUUAUUUCUGGCUCUACACAUUUAGCUUGCAGCAGUGAUAUUUUUUUUAGCCAGUAUGUCCAUCCAUGAGAAACUUGACUUAAAUGACAGUGUCUGCUCCUUUCAUCAUUGUACAGCAUUUACCCUAGUUGGCCCAUACAUUUCUGCAGAGUUUCUACAGAGUAGUGAAUCUCAGUCAGCCAUAAUUCAUCAACUGUGGAAAAUAGUUUUGCUUGCCUAUCUUCUGUGGGACAACCAGUGUCAUAUAACAAAAACACUUGUCUAAUUAACACAUGAAGGGGUUAAGACCAUAGAGUCACCUGUCUUGCCAGGCUUAGCUGGGUCACUCCCCCUCACCUUGAGAGGAAGGUAAUCAAGCCUAUUGUUCUCUUCCCAGUCUACAUGAGAAGCUCAGCAUGUAAAGAGGUCUGAGCUGGUUCCUCCAAGCUCAGACCACAUGGCCCUAACAAGCCAUUCUUGUGUUUAUAUAACAAUAAGUAAGUAGCUUUCACCACUGUAACUAAGCCAGGUUUUACUGCCUAUGUUUUCUGACUGAUGUAUGGAAAAGCACACGGACCUGACCUCUUAAACAUUAUUUUAACAUUUCUUAUGUACCUGGGAGUAGUUCCUCAAGCCUUCACUUACAAGGUCCUUUGAACAAGAAGGUUACUUCUGCUUCCCACUCACCACCACAAUAUCUGUUAGAUUUGUCCAUAGCUGGGUCAGGUGGGGUGGGAAGAACAGGAGAAGUCACUUGCCCACAGAAAGAAGGAAGGAAAACAACAAGGGAACAUAUGAUAUAACAUAAAACAACAAGGGAACAUAUAAGGUUGACUUACACCAGGUGAAACUAUUGGCCCAUGUAGCCCGGUACAGUCUAAUUGACUGACAACAGCUCUACACUGCCUCAGGUAGAGUACUCUACUAGCACUGAGAUCCUUAAAAACUGUGGAGCUACCACUGAGCUGUGGCGGCUUUCUUCCUCCAAUAAAAACAUUAUUACUGUGAGGAUGAGUAGGAAACGGCUAUAGUGUCUCUUAGCAUAGGCUAAGGGAAGGUUGAAUGGAGACACUUCCUCCACAGUGUCUUUCAGACAUAGUGGCUUUCAGAAUUAGUAGCCACUACAGAGGCCUGGAGGCUUCUAUAGAUGUGGUGUCUUAUUAAGAGGCUUACAUGAGAAUUAGAGAUGGGGGGUCUGUGGCCCUUCAAAUAUUGCUGGAGUCCAUCUCCCAUUAGCUCCAGCCACAUAGGUGCUAACUCCCUGGGGUCCUGAGUGCCCCAGCAUCCAUGAGGGGGCUGGGCACCCACAAAUUUUGAUACCUGGGGCCAUGCACACUGUAUGGCACCCAUGGCCCUGGGCACCCACCGUUACAGGGCCAAGCUGGCACUCCUGUCCAGCCAGCAAGGCUAGUGAUCAGGGAUGAUGGUAGUUGUAGUAGUACAACAUCACCUGGGGGACAACAUGUUUUCCCACCCUUGAUCUGAAGCAGUCCUAAAAGUAUGGAGUAUUUAUCAAACCAUUUUGAUAAAUAAAGACUUUGUCCUGUAUACUGAGCCCUUUGCCGUUUGUAAAGCUGGCAAGAAUCCUGUUAAUGUUAUUUCUUGAGCCAAAUCCCUGGGCACAUCAAGCUGAGGUUUGAACUUUGUGCCUCAGGGCCCUCUCCACCAGUUAUGCAUGAUUAUGCAGGUCUAUUCUCCAAGGGUUUUGCUGAGGUACAAUAGAAUAUAUCAACUUUAGAGCUUAUUUUAUUAUUCUGUUAAAGUCUUAAUGAAUAUUUCCUUCUAAAGCAUGUGCCUAAACAGUAAUUCUUUUUUCUCAGUAAAAAUAAUAUUACAUUAAUUCUUGCCAUGGGAAUAUGUUAGCGAACAUGUUUGCUGUAGGUAAUCCAGUUAUGGAUACGAAUUUCUGGACAAGUAGCAGCACAUGGCACAGAAAAGGUCAAAAUCAUUUGAGGUAUAAAAGUUGUGUUUAACUGAGCAAUGCAGAAAUGAGAUUCAUUACUUGCAAUUAAUCCUCAAGGUUCCUGAAUGUCAACUUACAAAGGCAGCAGUAGAUGCGGUUCAUGGGAGGUAAUUAAUAUUUGUUAUUGCACUCUUUUUAAAAGACUGCAGUUGAAAGGACUAGCCUGUGUCUGUUUACGACCAAGGCAAUUUAUUUUUGUGAUAGUAUUCUCUACAAAGCCAUAAAAAACAUUUUCCUGAUAAAGGUGCCUACAGUUUGGUAGCAAUUAUGGUCUCCCUUUGUUGUUUUCUUAUGAUUAGUACAUGCUUUUUUAAUUAAAUGGUAUUAAUUCAUAAAUAUAAAUCAACAUAUAUACCAGGUCAGGGCAAAACCUGGCAGAUCAGAUUGGAGCAUGGAGGAUAUUGAGUUAAAACAAAUGUCAAAAUCUCUGUCAGGCCAGAAAUGAAGCUUGUUGGCUUUUCAGACCUUGAUAGCUAGGUGCCCACUGCAAAGCAUUUUUAUUGUUGCAGGUAGUAAAAUAUAAUGGUUGAUCAGCCACUACAAUAGCUAUGUCUCUGACUAAGAAAAGGCCCAGUGCAUAUAGAAUAUCUGGGGCAAAUUCUUAAAGUUGUGUGUAUGUGCAUGUCAGUUAUUCAGACUAAAAAACAUAAAAUAGUUAAGGAGUACCCUAUCAGUGUUGCUAUUUUUGUCGUCAUUAGGUUCAUAUUAGCAACAUGAUGUGGUGAUAGUUUAAGUUAGUGUAGCUCUGAAUCCAAAGCUUCCUCAUGCAACUGGAAAUGCACUUCCAUUCACACAAGUAAAGGUAAAGGACCCCUGACAGUUAAGUCCAGUUGCAGACGACUCUGGGGUUGCGGCGCUCAUCUCGCUUUACAGGCCGAGGGAGCCGACGUUUGUCCGCAGACAGUUUUUCCGGGUCAUGUGGCCAGCAUGACUAAGCCGCUUCUGGCGCAACGGAACACCGAAACCAGAGCAGCACACAGACACACCAUUUACCUUCCCGCCAGAGCAGUACCUAUUUGUCUACUUGCAUUUUUGGCGUGCUUUCGAACUGCUAGGUUGGCAGGAGCAGGGACUGAGCAACGGGAGCUCACCCCGUCGUGGGGAUUUGAACCGCCGACCUUCUGAUCGGCAAGCCCAAGAGGCUCAGUGGUUUAGACCACAGCGCCAAAGCAGUCCCCAAUUCUCUCCUCCUGCUGAAGCUUUCCAUGUCACAUUCCACUCUGUUCUGGAUGGUUUAAUUUGGGAGUGGAGAGUCUGUAGGAAGGUGGAGGGGAUAGGAAAGUUCUGCUGCAUGGGUGUUCACUCGUGCAUCUUUGGAUCCAAGCCACUGAAUUCAUAUCUGAAAGAAAAAGGGGAAAAGCGAGUUCUGUACAGUGCCGUCUCAUUCCCCAGUUCUUCUUGUUGUUUGGGAGGCCUGAUUGGUAGAGCACAUGGUUUGCAUUCGGUAAGCCCCUGGUUAAUUUCUGUUUGAAAGUGUCUCAGCCAGUUGCAGGGCUAGCGGAGGCCAGUGCCUGAGAUCUUAGAAAGGCGUUGCUAGCCUGAACAGUUGCGCAACGGACUAGGUUGACCAAUGGUCUGACUCCAUAUAAGGCAGCUUCAUAAGGUCGAUUCAGGAUGAAUAGAAAUCUGAGCUGAACUGAAAUGAUGAGAAUUAUCAAGACCUUUAUUGGGGUGGAGAAAAUGGAAAAACCUACCGCCACUGAGGUUUUGUCUCCUCACAUUUCCUUUCACACACACACACCAUUGGAGCAAUUCUGCAGCUGUUUCUCUCUUUCAGAUUUAUGGCUGCAACAUGUGUUAGGGAGGGCAGUUUUAGCUGAGGAUGCUGAGACAUUAUCUUUCAAUUUUCUACCUGGUAAUCAUCCUCCAUGUCUUUGUAUUCCUGAAAGUGAUGCUGUGGCAGUGACUUCCUUUGAAGGUUUCCAUGGCCUUUUCUCAUUUUCUUAAGUCACGUGAAGGCAAAAUGCAUAAUGAAGAAAGCAGCACUUCAUCCAAAAAGCAUACUGAGCAGUUAGGGCGAGCAUGAAAACACUGAAUGAAUUUGUCACAGCUAGCAGUGUAAAAUGAAAACUCUUGUGGCAACUGUUCUUACCAAAUAAGGAACAACUGGGCUGGAUAAUAUUUCUUCACUAAAUAUGGAAAGAACCCCUCUCCAAACCAACCCUCUCCAUAUACAUAUACUGAGAUGAGAUUUCAUAGGAAAGCUGGAAAAAGACUUUGUGGUUAACCUUUUUUAAAAAGGGGGGAGGAAUAACCCAGUGGUUUGAUGUUUUCCAUUAUCUUCUAACAAGAGAGAAAUAAUAAACUUUCUUUAAAAAAAAAAAAUCAACAUUCAGUGAAGUAAACAAAUCUUCUCUUUCGGUGGUACAAAAGCAUAUGUGGCCUUGUUUGCUAUUUAAUCUCAGCGAAUUCACUGUCAAGUUUUUUUUCCUCCCCCUCCUCAUCUUGCUGCAGGGAAAUAAGAAGUGGGAAGAAUAG